rnacentral:lncRNA from 1 species
UGAGCCAGGAAUGGUGGGUAGAAUGAACGUAAGUCACUUCUAAGUUUGACCCUUGAAAACGUUCCGCUUGAACCUCCUUUCUCUCAUUUCUCUGCUAGAAUGACUCUCGGACCACAUUUUCCAGUGGCAUAGUCAUCAGAGGAAGGAGAGCCUACCCAGUGUGAUGUGAAUAAAUGGAUGAAGUUCUACUUUGUUACUGCUUCAUGGCCCAGUUUCCUAAUGCAGGUUACGGAUUAUGCAAGUUUACAACAUCAUCUAACUUGGCACCAAUCUGGGCGAAUCUAGAGCAGUGGCCAGUUUGUGAUGAGCCACAUCCAGAAUGCAGUGGGGGAGCUCACAACUGGACAUCUUAGCAAAUACCAAAUCCAGGUAUGUCAGUUGGGACAACUGGGGGAGGAGGUGUGGUGGGCUGUGCAGCCGGGGGAACCUUCACCAAAAUGACUAGAGAAAUGAGAAGAACAAUUAUAACUGACAGAUAGGAACAGCCUGCUCAGAUACGCUAAAAAUGAGUCAGGCCUUCAGGAUGAUGACAACUUUGACAAGGAUUUUGGAGAUGAUAACAAAUGGAAAGCUUUAUGUAUCCAGUUCAACACAACUGUUCAUUAGAGUCCCCGAGGGUUUGAUGCAUUUAGCAAAUGACUAUUUUAUAUGCUUUUUAAAUUUUCAGAUGCUUCCAUAAAUUCAUAGUCUUGAAAGGAAGACAUUUCUUCAGAACUCUGUAAAUCUUACAGAGUUGGAGUCCUAAGGGAGUUGGUGGAGGUGGGAAUAGUUUGUAUUUGCUAAGCAUGACAAUAGUGUGGCAAAGAUUUUAAGACUGUGCUCUAGCUGCAAACAAACUUUGCCAAUUUCUUCCUUCAGAAUAACGA